GAAAUCCUUAUCCUCCUGGUUGGCCUCAUCUUCAAGCUGCCACUCUCAGCUGAUCCCUAUCCUCUACCGCUCUCUCUCUCCCUUCCGAUAUUUUGCACCGUCGUGCUCAGGUUUCUGGUGUUUUCUCCAUUGCGUUCAUCUCCCUCUGUGCUCCUCCCUGUCGCGCCCUCCCUGGUGGACACGUGCAGCUCCCUCUGCCUUCCAUGAGUUUUUUGAACCAAGAUAUCACUGAGACUGGACUUUAAAAAAUAGUAUCCUGAACACCGUAAUUGAAGUUUUAGUAUUAUAAACCGUUUAGCUUUGGUUUUUUCUAUCGGACUGUGAUUUAGCCAAUGUUCAGCUACUAGUACAAGCUGUUACGGCAAUCCAUCUCACUGCCCCGUUCUUAGAACGAAUAUGUGCUGGAGCUCCUCUCGUGACGCUCUUCUCUCCCGGCGCUGGAGCUCCCCUAUCAAGUCUUGUCCGACGGCGCUCCGGGGCGCUCCUCUCCCUGGUCCCGGCGGUGCUCCUCUUCCUGAUGUUGAUGAUUACUCGGCCCAGCCAGCAGUGCUUCCCCGCCAGCAGUGCUUCCCCGCCAGUGCUUCCUCGCUCCUGGCUGUGCUUCCCCGCGACCGGUUAUCGUUCCCUGAGACGCUCGGUCUCGCUCCCGACCUCAACAAUGGAGACCCCGCCAGGAGCGAUGACGUCGGCACCGGCUGUUGUCAUCCCCGAUGACAACCAUGAUGCGUAUAGGUCCGUCACUAUUGAAGAUGUUGACCACUCAUUGAUUAAGGCACCAACAACGCUUGAGGAGAUCGGUGCUCUGCCUCCUAUGGAUGUUGUAAAGCUUCGUUAAUGGUCAAUGGCCAAUGAGAGUGUUAUGUACCCAAUGAGAGUGUUAUGUACCUUAAACUUGUAUUUCUAAGUACUAUAAGUGAACUUUCAGUGAACUUGUUGUUUUCAGUGAGCUUUCAGUGAACUGUUAACCGGUAUUAGAAUCAAUGAACUUUCAUUGAACUGUGAACUAGGCUA